rnacentral:rRNA from 1 species
UAUGACAGCAACAUUGCUAUCCUGUAGCCUGAUCUUGUCAGGUCUCAGAAGCUAAGUAAGGCUGGACUUGGUAUAUACUCGGAUGGGAGACCUCCAAGGAAAACUAUUUUGCUGUUGGAU